rnacentral:rRNA from 1 species
UGAGCAAUCUGCCCUUCUCUUCGGAAUAAGCGUGGGAAACCGCGUCUAAUGCCGAAUACGACCUCCUUUCGCAUGAUCGAAGGUGGAAAGCUCCGGCGGAGAAGGAUGAGCUCGCGGCCUAUCAGCUAGUUGGUGUGGGUAACGGCCCACCAAGGCGACGACGGGUAGCCGGCCUGAGAGGGUGACCGGCCACACUGGGACUGAGACACGGCCCAGACUCCUACGGGAGCAGCAGG